CUGGUCUGCGCUCCACGUGGCGGGCCCCGCCCGCCCAGGCCCGGGCAGACGCCGGGAGGCGGGGCUCGACAUCUGGGGGUGCACCUCCACGUCCCGCUAGGGGACAGGGGCCCCACCAGUCUUCACGGGGAGGCGGUGUGAUGGAGGCACUGGCCUUGAGCAGACCACUUGAGUGAAGCAAAGGAUUUGGACACGGAAGCAGUGAAAGGUUAAGGAAGACAUUUCAGGAUUAGAUUAUGACAUCCAACCAAGCAGUCUGACUCCAGGAGGAUUAAUUCUAAGAGAUGUUCCAGAGAUAAACUGAGAAGCAUGAGACUUGGUUGAUCACUUGAGAGCAGAGUGGAGAAGAAACAUGAUUCUGCUGGGUUCAAAAAGAAGAAAGAAGUAGAAGAAAGCCAAAAGAUGGUGAUCAAGAUUGGAAAGUUAGAUUAAGUGGGAAAUGAGUAAAAUGCUGAAUGCUGUCACAUUAUAUUUUGACAUGUUCAUAAAUAUAUACAAGUAAAAAUUCAUUAUAAGUAUAUAAACUCAAAUAAUGCAGAAAUAUAGAGUAAAAGUGAAAAACAAACAAAAAUCGGCUGAAUGCCCAGAAAUAUGAGAAAAGCUAGUUAAAGAAUUUCUGUGGGAGGUAGGCUGAGUUUAUGAUUCAAAGUGACUAUUGAAAAAAAGAGUUUGGAUUUGAGACUAAAGUCCUGCUUCACUGGGGAGCCAGAUAAUCUGAGAAAAUGCUACUGAAUAAAACAUUGUUGAAUCUCUGUCAUUUGUAGUUAAAUUAUGAAAUACGAAAUGUUGAGGCCUCAACUGACAGAUUGAACUAGGCCUUCAUGUUCUUUUUUUUUUUUAGGCUGGUUGUGGAACCCUAGGGCCUUCAUAUUCUUAAUCUAUUUUGCAUGUAUCACAGAAGCUCGGGCACUAUUUCUAAUCCAGUAUUUCCUCCCCUCUCAAUCCCCUAUAGCAGAAGGGCUCUAACCCUGAAGCGAA